CCAGCCCGGGCCUCUCGGGGUCUCAAUCCCUUGGCCUGUGUGUGUGCCAGAGCUUCCCACAAAUUCGGGAAGAAGGUGCCGGAGGCUGGCCGGGCGGCCUUGCGGUUUGAAGCAGUGAGUCACCUUCUGGCUGCAAGUCAAGGAACUCUCACUGCGCCCUUGUUUGGACAAGACGGGGAGGCGCACUCAGAGUCACAGACUCCGGGAGCAGAGACCGGAGCAGGAAGAAGGGGUCACCGAGACCUCAAGAAAGUCAGGGAGACAGACGCCCAAACGACCGAGACAGCCAGGGACAGAUUAUCCAAUCCCAUUUCUGGAAGACACUCUGUGAAGCAAAAGAACUCUACACCUGGCUCUGGAGGGCUGAUUCUCUGUGAAGGCAGAGGACCACCUGACUGGCCUGGAAGACUGACUGUCCAUACUCUUCUUCCAGGAUCUGGACUUGACAUCCCUGGCUCAAAAAGAUUGACUAUCUAGGGAUCCGAAGGGCCUCUCUAGCUGACCUGCUAUAAUACCAUAUUUCACAAGUGCUCUCUUGACCCAGUUUUGAGAUCCUGGCUAAAACCUCUCAACUCCUCUUUGUCACUUUGCUGAGAGUAUACCUUAACUCCUCCAAACUCUAGGCGUGGAGGUGGCUGUGCCCCUGUAUCUAGAUGAUUCUCUGGAAUAAUCUUCAUUCCUGGCUUCUGGAGUAGGAUGGGGAAAUGUGGAUGGGUUGGAGGCAUAGGAAGAUAAGAGGAAGCAUGGAAUGGCUGCCGUGACAUCUGUUCUGAUCAGCAACCUGAGCUGGAUUUGAGUUCCACGGUCACGGGCUGGAGGCCGGAAUUGUUCAAAUUUCAUUUCCAUGAGCAGCUUGGUGAGGUUCUGGGUUCAACAGACAGAACUAAUUUUGGUUCUUCAGUGCAUGAGUCUCAGAGUUGGGGAAAUGGAGACUGUUCUCCCCAUAGCUGUUGACCCCAGCAAGGUUCAUGGAGCCUGAAGGUGAGGCAUCCUGGCCAAGAUGUGCAGAAUGAUGGACCCUGGCCAAGCCACUUUAUGGACAGAAACGUGGACAAGUGGAGUCAGGGCAGAAAAGAGGGCACAUGACAAAAUUCCCAUGAGGUCUGAAGUCAGAGCUAUUCAAAGGCCUUUCUCACUGAACCAAACACCCAUACCCCAUCCCAGGCCUUCUGCAUUCCUCCUGGAAUCACCAGCACUGAAGUUUAAAAAUUACAUUUCCCUGACAUCCUUCGAGUUGGAUUUCCACUGGGUUCUGCCAAUGGAAUGUAUCCAUGCGAGAUUCUGGAACUAGUAUCAGACAGAGUCCAAGCUGCUAACUUUUAUCAAUGGCAAUGGCAAUAGUCGAGCAGCGUUGACGGUGAGUACAGACUUGUGAGCCCAAAAUGAUACCACGUUCCUUUUUCACUGAUACUUCCAACAUUUAUAUGACCAAUUCCCUAAAUUAAAUCACUUUGUCUGAA